GGCGGGCCUAUACAUGCAAGUCGAGCGGACAGAUGGGAGCUUGCUCCCUGAUGUUAGCGGCGGACGGGUGAGUAACACGUGGGUAACCUGCCUGUAAGACUGGGAUAACUCCGGGAAACCGGGGCUAAUACCGGAUGCUUGAUUGAACCGCAUGGUUCAAUUAUAAAAGGUGGCUUUUAGCUACCACUUACAGAUGGACCCGCGGCGCAUUAGCUAGUUGGUGAGGUAACGGCUCACCAAGGCAACGAUGCGUAGCCGACCUGAGAGGGUGAUCGGCCACACUGGGACUGAGACACGGCCCAGACUCCUACGGGAGGCAGCAGUAGGGAAUCUUCCGCAAUGGACGAAAGUCUGACGGAGCAACGCCGCGUGAGUGAUGAAGGUUUUCGGAUCGUAAAACUCUGUUGUUAGGGAAGAACAAGUACCGUUCGAAUAGGGCGGUACCUUGACGGUACCUAACCAGAAAGCCACGGCUAACUACGUGCCAGCAGCCGCGGUAAUACGUAGGUGGCAAGCGUUGUCCGGAAUUAUUGGGCGUAAAGCGCGCGCAGGCGGUUUCUUAAGUCUGAUGUGAAAGCCCCCGGCUCAACCGGGGAGGGUCAUUGGAAACUGGGGAACUUGAGUGCAGAAGAGGAGAGUGGAAUUCCACGUGUAGCGGUGAAAUGCGUAGAGAUGUGGAGGAACACCAGUGGCGAAGGCGACUCUCUGGUCUGUAACUGACGCUGAGGCGCGAAAGCGUGGGGAGCGAACAGGAUUAG
rnacentral:rRNA from 1 species